CCCGUCAACUCAACGGGGCUUACUCUCGCG
rnacentral:RNase_MRP_RNA from 1 species